rnacentral:lncRNA from 1 species
UUUAAUGAAUUAAAUUGGUAUAACUCUGAUAAAUUAAUUUUAUUAUGUGGUUAAUAUUUUAAUAAAAAAAUUAUAUACUUUUAAUAAAGAUUUAUACUUUUCAAUAAAAAAUUCAAUUUUUUUAUGAAUGUUUAAAUUAUAUUAAGAAAAAAAAUUAAGUAUAGUUGAAAAAAAAUAUUUGAACUUGGACUCAAUGGCCCAAAGGAAAAAAAAUGUGAGAAUUGGAUCUGAUUUCUUAAUCGGCCCAAAUGACCCAAGAA